rnacentral:rRNA from 1 species
GUGGGGAAUUUUGCGCAAUGGGGGAAACCCUGACGCAGCAACGCCGCGUGAGUGAUGAAGGCCUUCGGGUCGUAAAGCUCUGUCAGAGGGGAAGAAGUGUGGGGUGGCUAAUAUCCAUUUCACUUGACGGUACCUUCAAAGGAAGCACCGGCUAACUCCGUGCCAGCAGCCGCGGUAAUACGGAGGGUGCGAGCGUUGUUCGGAAUUAUUGGGCGUAAAGCGCGUGUAGGCGGUUUUUUAAGUCUGAUGUGAAAGCCCUGGGCUCAACCCGGGAAGUGCAUUGGAAACUGGGAGACUUGAAUACGGGAGAGGGCAGUGGAAUUCCUGGUGUAGGAGUGAAAUCCGUAGAUAUCAGGAGGAACACCGGUGGCGAAGGCGGCUGCCUGGACCGAUAUUGACGCUGAGACGCGAAAGCGUGGGGAGCAAACAGGAUUAGAAACCCGAGUAGUCC